AUUGAACGCUGGCGGCAUGCCUUACACAUGCAAGUCGAACGGCAGCACGGGAGCUUGCUCCUGGUGGCGAGUGGCGAACGGGUGAGUAAUAUAUCGGAACGUACCCUAGAGUGGGGAUAACGCAGCGAAAGUUGCGCUAAUACCGCAUACGAUCUACGGAUGAAAGUGGGGGAUCGCAAGACCUCAUGCUCAUGGAGCGGCCGAUAUCUGAUUAGCUAGUUGGUGGGGUAAAGGCCUACCAAGGCAUCGAUCAGUAGCUGGUCUGAGAGGACGACCAGCCACACUGGAACUGAGACACGGUCCAGACUCCUACGGGAGGCAGCAGUGGGGAAUUUUUGGACAAUGGGGGCAAGCCUGAUCCAGCAAUGCCGCGUGCAGGAUGAAGGCCU
rnacentral:rRNA from 1 species